AUUGAACGCUGGCGGCAUGCCUUACACAUGCAAGUCGAACGGCAGCACGGGUGCUUGCACCUGGUGGCGAGUGGCGAACGGGUGAGUAAUACAUCGGAACGUACCUUAUCGUGGGGGAUAACGCAGCGAAAGUUGCGCUAAUACCGCAUACGCCCUGAGGGGGAAAGCGGGGGACCGUAAGGCCUCGCGCGAUUAGAGCGGCCGAUGUCUGAUUAGCUUGUUGGUGAGGUAAAAGCUCACCAAGGCGAUGAUCAGUAGCUGGUCUGAGAGGACGAUCAGCCACACAGGGACUGAGACACGGCCCAGACUCCUACGUGAGGCAGCAGUGGGGAAUUUUGGACAAUGUGGGCAACCCUGAUCCAGCAAUGCCGCGUGAGUGAAGAAGGCCUUCGGGUUGUAAAGCUCUUUUGUCAGGGAAGAAACAGCAGCUCUAACACAGUCUGCGAAUGACGGUACCUGAAGAAUAAGCACCGGCUAACUACGUG
rnacentral:rRNA from 1 species